rnacentral:misc_RNA from 1 species
AUCAACUUGCUCCUCCUGCAACCUUUAUAAAAUAUGCUACUUGGAUUGCAUUCGGAACAUCUGAAGACAUUGAAAAUGACUGUAAACAUGACUAUUUUUUGGGACAACCCACUAGGCACCUGGAUCGGGCCGAACUCGAUCCCGAGUGCGAGUGAAUUAUUGUCAAUUUGAUCACUCCUUUUUCAAACGGUGUCUAAUCGGAGUAG